UAAAAAGAACGGAAAAUGCAAAUAUUUAAUUUAUUUAAUUAAGUUAAGAAUGGUAUUCCAUAAUGGAAUUCGAAUUAAAAAACAAAAAAUACUGAGUCUCUUAAACAAGACAUUAUAAAACUUAGGUAAUUAUAGUAAUUAUGAUUUUAGUUCUCUAAACAAGAGAGCUGCUUCAUCUUUGUUUUAAAGAAAUAGAAAAAUGAAUAGAAAGUUAAAUGAUUCCACUUUUUUUUUCAUAAAUAUCCUUAUUUAGAUAAUAACUAGGUAACGAAGUUAGUUGAUUAACUUUUUUUUUUGAAUUUAACCAACUAAACCCAUUCUUAAUUUUGGAUUAUUUCAAUGAUAUAAAUUUCAGGUGAGCUGGGACGAGAUGGGCAGCCAGAUUUGAAGGACAUGAAGGUGCCAGAGCUGAGGGAGCUGGCAAGAGCAAGGCUGAUGAGAGGCUACUCGAAGCUGAAGAAGGGGGAGCUGAUCGAUCGUUUGAAGGGGGGUUUGGUCUGAUAAUUUCAGGCUUCUUAUUGUCCUAGGCCAUGAACACGGAUGGCGCCAGUGACUGAAUUGCUGGCAUGGUUCUUCAGAACUAAUUUUUCUAGCGGUUCGAUCUUCUGUUCAGUUUUUGUACAAUUUGAUGGCAUCAUCAUUUGACUCGGUGGAGGGCUUGCUGGUUAGCUUCAUUUCAAGAUGAGUUCCUUUUUCAGUUUGCAGCUUACGAAAGAGGCACUUCUUUUUUUAUGAAACUCACAAGCACAUACUCCGUAAAAUACAUGACCUCUUUGCAUUCCCUUUUUGUCUCUUGGAAGCAAAUUCGCCUCUAUUUUGGCAAAUCCAACCUCUCCAUCCAUUCCAGUAUUUGUCAGCUGCUGAGAACUAUAGCCGUUGCCAACAUAAUAUAUCAGGAUUUGUUAAUUUAAUCUAAAAAUAAAUGCCUCUCUUUUUCUUCAAAGGGAGAUUCUCUUUUUGUCGAAACCGGGACGAAGCUUGCUUCAUCUCAUUAAUUAAAAAGUUUCUAUCCGGAGCUAGUUAACAAACUAAGCAAAAAACGCUACAAUGUUGCCUAACACAAGGGAUGUCACUGACCGAUCUGGUUACCACCAUGCACUCGACAUACACCGCUAAGGAGAAGACCAUUGUCUAGGUUGUUUGCAAAUGUCAUUGUCAUCAUGCAUCACAACUUCACCGUAUAUAACCACCAGUUAAGCCCUCAUCGCAACAAUUUCACGAAGCCCAAGACGACCUAUGCUAACGGUCAACCAACAUGUCGAGGCAAGGUGGCUUUGAUUCCGAUCACAGGCUUGACAAGGAAACAACCCUUCCGCCGACACCAAAGCAUCGUUCGCAAGGCAUCAUCGCCGACAAGCUACAGAAAGCGGCGUACAUUCCUGCCACGACAUCACUAACAUCAAGAGCAGCUUCGCAAAUCAAGGACUCUGGCGUAUAGAAAAUGUUGCACCUCCGACUUUAUUGCCUCACCACAAAGAAAAUCUAAGACGCCCACGAUCAAUUAUAAAGGCUUCUAUUUCGCUGGAGUAGCUAAAUAUGAUUCAAUUGAAUACCGGGUUUGGUAAUCUAUUUAGCGUGCCUUUGGUUAGGAUGCUUUUCUGCUUUUGCUUCCAAAAAACAAAAAAUGUUAACCAAAGGUGUAUUUCUCAAAGCUAAAAGCAAAAAAGCAAACUGCUUUUGGUAGUACAAUUCUCAAAGUAGGUACAUAGAUGCUUUUAGUUGCUUUUCUUUGCCAAGUUCAGUUAAUUUACCCACGCUGACACCCAUAGGUGAAAACGAUUCACUUCUUUCCAUGCCCCGUCCCCUUCCGCGAACAGAAACAAGCCCACGAUUCCUCUUUCCUGCCAGUUCUCUGUCCCGACCGAGAGCCUGGGUACCCUAUCGGCGGCGCUCCCCACCGGCGGCCGCCCCGCCCCGAAACCCAUCCCCGGCCGUCCCGUCGUCGGCCCGCCGCGCCCCAACGACCGUCCGCCUCCAAGCUUCCACGCCAGUUCCCGGCUGCCCCCUUCCACGCCUGACCCCGGCCUGCCCCUGCCCCCUUCAGGUAUGAAGAAGUGCGGGCGUCGGUGAAGAUGGUGGGCCGUGGAGGCAUGGGCAUGGUGUACAGAGCAACGCUCAGCGACGGGCGGAUGGUGGCAGUGAAGCGCCUGCGCGACACGAACCCGUGCGGAUGCUCGAGAGCGUGCCCGUCGACGACCACGGUACCUGCGCUCAGCUACAUUGUCACGAAGGUAUCAUUUUCCGCCGGACCACGGAGGACGAUGCGCUCAGCUACCGAAAAGUUCAGCUCUCCAUCUGCAGUUCUGCAUGCUUUCACUCUUCCGUGUAGCUAAUGCUUUGUUUUGGUGCGAGAGCGAGCUAGCUUAGCUGCAUCGAUGGCAUUCAUUAUUAUGUGAUUUAUAUAUCUUUUGUACAAUAACAUUAAAAGAUCAAUCUUUAUUGUUUUAUGUACACAUAUGCAUCGUUAUAAAUAUUACAUUUCUUGUCGUGGUUACAAUCAACACAGAGAUUCAAUUUACGAUCAACUUGCAUAUAAACGGUCAUUUAGGUCUAGAAAAGCAAAAGCAAUUGAUCCAACCAAACACACUUCCUAUUUUUCCACAACAGAAAAAGCAAAGUAACUUUUAACAGCAGAAAAAGCAAAACAGAACCAAACACACCCUUACUCCAUCCAUUGCAAAAUACAAGGUGUAUAACAUUUUGUUGAUUGAGUUUGACAAAAUUUAUAGAGAAAAUAUUAACGAAUCAAAAUCAUUAGAUCCAUCAUGAAUUAUGCUUUCAUAGUAUGUUUGAUCCGUAUACCAAAUGUUAAUAUAUUUUGCUAUAAUAGGAACAAAAUUUGGAAUGGUAGAGGUUAUUUAACCUGUCGAAAGAAUUUAGAGGCAUCAUCCGUCGUAGUCUAGGUGGUUAGGAUACUCGGCUCUCACCCGAGAGACCCGGGUUCAAGUCCCGGCGACGGAAAUUUUUGCCAUUUCGCUCUUCUCAACUCAUAAUUAUCCAACAAUUACUAAACCACCCUUCAGCCCUUCAUUCGACGUUCUUAAUUCUACGCUCCGGAGGGGGUGCGAAGGUAAUUGCACACGAUAUAAGCGCCUCCGCACUAGGGUUUCCUUCUCUUCCUACAAAGCCCUCGCCGCCGCCGCCGGCCCACACCACGCUCUAAACGUCUCAACCCCCCCCUCCCUCCCCUCCCCCGCCGUCGACCCCCCAGAUCCCCCGCCUCCAUGGUGAGCGCUCGGUGCCCAGAAGCAUCGCUCUCCUUGUUUUUUUUUUGUCCUGUACCGAAUUGCUCUGUUGCUCAGGUUUGUGGACUUUCUGACGAUGUUGUUUUGUCUGGGUUCCGUGCUCGCAGUCGACGGAGAAGAAGCAGCUGAACCCCAUGCGGGAGAUCAAGGUGCAAAAGCUCGUCCUCAACAUCUCCGUCGGCGAGAGCGGAGAUCGCCUCACCCGCGCCUCCAAGGUAUAUGACUAUCUAUGUUUGUCUACCCGGUGCGCCUAAAGCGGGUGGAUUCAGAUUAGUUUCGUGAGAUACGGUUAUGUUGAUUGUUGCCUCUUAUGAGGUUCAGAUCAGUAGCGAGUUUUCUGCUUCACCUGUAGCAAUCCCCUAAUGCUUCAGGGAAUUUGAAGCUGGUGGCGAUCUAGCCCCGUCCGGCACUUGUGCAUUCUAUCUGUAGUCGAGUAAAAAAAGGGCAGCGCGCUAGCAGGAAAUGAACCAGCUAGUGAUACUGAUGCGCUACCGGCUACCAUGUAACAAUUGUGGUCUGCUCAUUACUGAUGUUAUAGAGAGGCGUUAACUGACCUAGUCUGGGCCGCGCCCAGUAGUUCAAGUGAAUUCUCUCUGCAUUUGUGUUGUCGGGGAAAAUGCAGCUUAACUGUUAAUCCUUGAUGUCAACUGCAUUGUCUUUUGUUUGUCAGGUGCUGGAGCAGCUGAGUGGACAAUCACCCGUGUUCUCCAAGGGUAAUUAUAUUAAACCCAUCUUGUUCUCAUUGGUCAUGUAACAUGUGGUCUAUUUGGGUUGCGCUCAUUGUGAUAAUGAUGUGUUAUUGCAGCGAGGUACACUGUGAGGUCGUUCGGUAUCAGGCGUAAUGAGAAGAUUGCGUGCUACGUUACAGUCAGGGGUGAGAAGGCGAUGCAGCUGCUGGAGAGUGGCCUGAAGGUGAAGGAGUAUGAGCUUCUGAGGAGGAACUUCAGUGACACCGGGUGCUUUGGGUUUGGUAUCCAGGAGCACAUUGACCUUGGCAUGAAGUAAGUUGAUCUGAUGCGUGCACUUUUGAUGUCAAUGUGGUACAUUUGUUUCUGCUGAUUAUUAUUUUUGUGCUGAAACUGUUUUCUUGUCAAGUACAAGAAACCACAUGUACUUAGUAACUGUUUAAGAAAUAAGAACACAGGCUAGUAAUUUGUUGUAAUAGUAGGAGCUGCAGCCAGAAUCAUUAGUCAGCUACUUAUAUAGUGAAAUUCACUUCUAUUGUGUAAUGCAGUUAUAAUUUUCCUAUGCCUAAAGUAUUCUUGGAACUAAUGGAUCUUUUGUUGAUUAUCAGAUUGGUCAUGUAUUCUUGGAACUAAUGUUUAUCAUGUUGUUUCAUUUAUCAGAAUCCUCAUUUUAGGUCUCAGGUUUUCAAUUGACAACAAAGCACAUCUGUAUAAUAGAGACAAUCCAAUGCAUUAGUUCCUUUAUUUUACCAAGUUUCUGCAUCAUACUCUGGACAAGCGUGUUUUCAUAAUGGAUCAUCUGUAAUUGGUGUUCGAGUAUAGCUGGUUGCCACAUUGCGGAUCAAGUCUGGAACAAGAAAUGAAGUUCUCUGAGUUUUGAUACAUCAUAUGGUCCACUAGAUGCAUCUUGUUGUACUCUUAAUUGUUGACAACAUAUUGGAAUCCUAGAGGAUACCUAAUCUUCUUUGGUUUUAUAGUGGGCAUCAUGAUGUUUGAUUUUUUUAGUUUUGGGAUUCGGGUUAGUAAUUUCACAUAUCAACAUUCAAGCAGUCCUGGUUCCUUUAUUUUGCUCAUUGCACACUGGCGUCUUAUCCCCUCAUAGUUGUGAAUGAAGUUCUGACUUAAUCGCAUGUGACUGACUUUUUUGCUUUAUCAGGUAUGACCCAUCUACUGGUAUCUAUGGUAUGGACUUCUACGUUGUUCUUGAGCGUGCUGGCUACCGUGUUUCCCGCCGCCGCAGAUGCAAGGCCCGCGUUGGGAUCCACCAGAGGGUCACCAAGGAGGACGCCAUGAAGUGGUUCCAGGUCAAAUACGAGGGUGUCAUCCUCAACAAGUCCCAUGCGAGCUAAGAAGAACACCAAGUUGAUUAAACUAGUGUUGAUGCUGGAUUUGUAUGUUUCUUAGAAACCAAAAUGCUUUGUCAGUUUUGCCUGUACUGAAGUUGGAUAUUUUCGGGUGGUCUGCACUUUCGUCUAAAAUGCUCACUUGUGUUUUAUCCUUGCAAGAAUAGAGAUAUAUGUUUGGCAUAUGGGAUAAGAUGAACUGCCGUUGUUUGGUCCCUCCUGAAUUCCAUGCACAGCCGUGGUGAAGUCUUUUUGAGUCAGAAAAGGAUGAAAGCAACAAACGCCAUGAAAAAUGAUUCGCAACGUAUGAUGUAUUUGCAUUUGCCACCUCCAAACCUUCAUUUUCAAUGAUUAUCUACUUAAGAUACCUUCAUUUUCAAUGAUUGUCUACUUAAGAUUUUAAUUAUGAUUGAUAAACAUGAGUAAAGAUACGAAACAUAUUCUAUAAUUUGUCACAUAACCGUCGCUACCAAUAACUAGUCGCUCCCAGUAGGCCGGCAAUUUGCGUCAUGUGAGACGCACAACAGUUUAAGGAUGAGCUAGCACUAAAGGUUGGCGGCCACAGUAAAGAAGAAAAUCACGGAGAAGCUUACAGGAAGAGAUUAGUACCGAACCACCCAAAAGUCUGUCCAACCAAGGAACCCUUUGACAGAGACAUCGAUCCCCUCGCGAGGCGACGGCCGAAUCCCCAAAAUGGCCACGGGAAACCUAUGCACGGUGGAGAAGCGCGGCCGCGUGCACCUCAUCACCAUCACCGGCGCCGGCGACCACCGCCUCGGCCCACCCCUCCUCUCGGCCCUCCGCUCCGCCGUGGCCGCCGUCCGCGCCUCCUCGGGCGCCGGCGCGCUCGUCAUCGCCGCCGAGGGCAAGUACUUCUCCAACGGCUUCGACCAGGCCUGGGCGCGCACCGUCCCGCGCCGCCUCCAGACCUCCAUGAGCGAGGCCUUCCGGGGCCUCGUGGCCGACCUCCUGGCGCUGCCCAUGCCCACGGUGGCCGCCGUCACGGGCCACGCCGCCGCCGCCGGCUGCGCGCUGGCGCUCGCGCACGACGCCGCCGUCAUGCGCGCGUCCCGCGGGUUCCUGUACAUGAGCGAGGUCGACGCCGGGAUUAAGAUCGUGGACUACUUCGCGGAGCUGCUCCGGCAGAAGGUCCCCGACGCGGCGACCCGGAGGGACAUGGUCCUGAGGGGGGACAAGAUGACGGCGGCGGAGGCGGUGCGGCGCGGCGUGGUGGACGCCGCGGCGGACGGCGGCGUGGAAGACGUGGUGGACGCGGCCGUCGCGGCGGCCGAGGCGCUCGCGGCGAGAGGGUGGGACGGUGAGGUCGUGGCCGAGAUCAGGAAGGCCAUGUGGCCCGCCGUCUGGGACAAGGUGAAGGACUACGGCGCCGAGGCGGCGGCCGCGCGGCCGCGGCUCUAGCCUCUCUGUUCCGGCUUGCCGAUCACUCCCCUGGUGCAGUCUAGGUGUGGCCUGAUAUAUAUUGCUCUGUAUUUACAGCAUGUUGUAGAUCGAGCUGGGAAUUCUACUUAGGAACAGAAUGGGAUUGCUCGAGACAGGAACUAAGUAAAGAUCACAGGUUAUUUCCUAUGGCUAUGGGGCAUUAGCUAGUGUGAUGUAACGUUCUAUUUGGUACCCAAUUGCCGUGAACAUUCGGAGGACAUUAGCAUUGGUGUUUCUCUGUCAGAUUGCAUCCUCGUCAGUCAGCAUCUAGUUUCGCUCAACACUUCAGGCAAACACUGAUACGCAACAGAAACAUGGACAUCUUGGCAGGGCGGCCUCACCUGAUCAUCCUCCUGGCUGGCGCCGGUGCCCGCGGCAACUGCCCCUGGCGCAACGGCAAGGUCGGUAAGCAAGGUACACAUGUACCCGGGAUCACAGCUUCGGCCUUCGGCUUCCCAAUUGGUGUGAAAAUAAGCUAGGUACGGAUUAACAAACUGCUAGGCCCAUUAAGUUCGUAAAGAUUAACAAAGGGCGUGUUUGGUUUCGAAGACGGACGCGGGCUGCAUCGCAGCCGGGCUACGGCACGAGGGAUGUAUGCACCGGGGGUGCGAGCUGGCACUGCAGCAGUGUGUUUGGCUUCGCUGCAUCCGGGGCGGGAGCAGCCAGUGAGCAGAGCGUCGAGGAGGACAGAAAGGGAGCCGCGGAGGUCGGGGCCGCCGUCGCUGGCGGCAAUGGAGGGCACGAGGAAGAAGGGGGUGCCCUCGCCGAGGAGGACGGAGAGGGAGGCACGGAGGUCGGGGCCGUCGUCGCUGGCGGCGAUGGAGAAUGAAGAUGGGAGCGGCCUCGCCGAGCCCUAUGUCGCCGGCGCCCUCGCCGUCGCUGCGGCCGUCGACAGAGAGCGGAUCUUGCCGACGGUGGGCAAGACUGGGGCAGGGAAGGCAGCAGCGGGCAGGAUACGGCGGGGGCAGAGGAGAACGACGGGAGAGUUAGAUGUGAAACGACUGAAAGAGCGCUGCACGAGAAAAAUGGCCAAAUCGGCCGUAGCCUGGAUGCGGGAUGAGAGGCCUCUUUUUGCAGAUGGGCUGCAGGUGCAAACUAAGGCCCAGGCAACCAAACCUCCUGAAACUUGCAUUGCGGGUGCGGGCCAAAUGCGGUGCACUCGACCAAACACCCCCAAACUGAACCUCUUGUGCGAACUCAGUUCAUUAAGAACUACGUUAAAUUCAGGUCGUUCAUGAGCGCUCGUUAAGAUAUACUCUGCAGGCAUAGCCGGCUAGCCGCACAGGGCACAGCCACACCAAUACAACAAAAUCACAACUACAGAAAGCAGCUUCAGCACAACUAUGCAAGUUAGCACUAUGCAGCAGCACUGCAGGCAAGCGGCAGGCCAGGAACACUCCACCGGCACGGCAGGACAGCACACCGAACGCUAUCAAAAAGUGCUGGGCUGAUUAGUGGUUGCCAUCGAUUUGGUGUACUGUGUUUUAAGUCAGUUCUUAAAUUGUGGGUCUGGUGACCAUGAGUGGAGCAAUUGAAAAGAAGAGACGGGCUGCGAACCUUCGAUUGAGAUUAGAACUCAGGAAGAGAAAUGCUGGGCCGGCCGGCUGAGGGCUGCUCGAGCUGCCCUCUUACAUGGGCUGAGUUCACUCGGCUUCUAGAAAAAUAACAGCUGCUCAUGAAACUCGUUUGCUUACAUGUUAGCGUUAACGAGUAAAAAUGACCAAUUGGCACAGUAUGUUAGCAACAGCGCCAUAGAAAUAGUCAAGCCGCCCUGUGCUCGAUCUCACAGUUCCUAAAAACAUGCAUCAUAACAAGGAACCAGACCAUGUAACAGAAGACUAGUCAUUGCGACUGGGCGACGACAUUUACAUCAGGUAGUAGAACCGACAAAACAGGGAGUGCGGCUACACAAGCUGCACGGCAAUACUACUAAGCAGUACAAAAAUGGCAAGAUCAACAGGUCACAAGCCCUAGCAUUAACAUGUCUUCACCAACCUACAUCAUUACCUUACCUAAAAAUAAGUAAUAACUCGACCAACAUGCGCCGUCACAUACUUAACAACGGCAGCAGCAACAAACAUCAAUUCUUCACGGUCAGAUAAUUUACAUAAUUGUACUCUCCUUUCUCUGGCACUGGAUCGGUCUCUCCACUGGCUUUAGGAGAGUGGCUUCGAAGAUGGGGCGAUCUGAGCCUGCGCAUGCGCAGCUCACGGAUGAAGAACCAAAAAGUUGAGGGUUGCAGCACGGUUUCUAGCUCCCAGAAUGCGCGAAGUUGAGGCUAUUUUGCCGUCGAACAUGUUCUGGGAUUAGCCUGUUGAUAAGCUCCAGAGAGGCGUUUACUAGCUGCAUGCCAGAAAUAAUGAGCAUUGAUAAGCACAACAGCAUAUCAAGAGCUAGCCCAAGAGGGUUCUUUCCAGGCUAGCAAUGACAACGCACAGCACAGCAAUCAUAAUUAUUGAACUGAUACAAUGUUGAAUGAGCCAUGUGCCCAUGUGCCUGGAACUAAAUAUUGCUUUCUUUUUUAGCAACUUAAAUGGUUGUUGUUUGAACAGUGCCUCGUUUACUUACUUCAGGCUUGAAGUUGAACAGAGGGGGGAAUGGACGGCCAUUCGGCAAGCGUGCAUUUGGCUCACGUAGCUCAUCGAAGAAGGAAUGUGCACAUGCAUCAAGCUGCACACAAGCAACCAAACACAUAAGAACAAUUUAAAAUUGAACAGAUAACUAUGCUGAAGAUAUGAUGUUUUCCAGCUAUAGUAUCAGCAUUAAACUUUUUUGCAGUGUAGCUCUAAAAACUGUAGUUAACAAGCACAUGCCACAAUACAAUGCUCCACCCACUCUUAUGAGUCAACACUCGUCAACAUUUGGUUCGGGACCACUAAAUAUCAUAAUUCUACAGCAUGGACCAGAAGCUAACAAAAUAUUGCAAGCUAAGCAUUAUGAACCUACUCUGCAGAAGCAGCUCUUUUCAUUGGCCAUAAUGGAUGACUUGUAUCAUUAUUUUCUAAAAGAAAGAAAAAUAGAAAUUGACUGUGACGAAACAUCUGAAAAUGAAUAGCGAAAAUAAGCAAAUACAUACGGCUAUAUGAAAAUAAAACAGCCUUAACUUGGUACGACACCCAAAUUUGUGUCACCGAAGUGCAACCAACAGUGUUAAAGACAGACCCGGAAGUAAUCCAAGAAAAAGAACUUACAGCAGUGCACCGUAGACUUGGUGAAUAUUGGAGAAGACGAGAGGCAAGAUCUAUGGCUUCAGCAGGCAUUCUCUUGUGGAAAAUCUGGGGGAGGGAAAGUAGAGGAAUCAGUUAGCAACAGGCACAAUUUAAAUUCACAACUUAUAGAUGAUGUAGAGGCUGGUAAUUAAACCAACCCCACAAGAAGAUGCUGACUACAAUACCCUGAAAGUAAAAUAGGCACGAGGCAGGUAAUCCAACAUAAGAUUAAACAUAGAAAUACCUUGUGCCAAGGAUGAGCCUUUAUCUGAGGAAAUCUGAACUCGGUGUAGUUAGGGUUCAUGCAUCGUAUUUCCUCACGUGUUGGAGUACCAAGAACCUGCAAUAAUAUCACAUGAACUUUAAGAAACAUUCAUAGCACAAGAAAAUAAUGUGGCAAGCAGAACAUUUUGCAGUACCUUGAUUAUCUCCACUAACUGAUCAACCGCGGUCUCUCCUGGAAACAGAGGCUGGCAAUACAACACGCAAGAUGAUCAGAAUCACCCCAAAGAUAACAUGGUCUAAUCAACACACCAGAAAAACGUUGAAAGUCCUUGACAAGGUAACCAACCUGGCCAAGAAGUAACUCUGCAAGAACACACCCGGCUGACCAUAUGUCUAUGGAAGUUGUAUAUUCAGUUGCACCGAAUAUGAGUUCAGGGGCGCGAUAAUAGCGAGAGCAUAUGUAUGAUAUAUUAGGUUCCCCAGGUACCUGCCACAACAAAACAGAGAUGAACAGUUGGGGUUAAAAUCAAUGAGUGAAAAUAACGGAAAUGAAGAGAAAGGUUAAUGCAGGUUUAGUUAAAAAAAAUAGCAUAUUGAUGAUACAUGUAAAGAUAAUGGCAUAAUCACACGCUAUUUCAACAGUAUGCCUGGUCCACCUCUACAAAAUUUCAAAGAUAAAUUCAACUACUGAUUCAAGAGGGAAAUCAACAUACCAGAACUUUUGCACUUCCAAAGUCACAGAUCUUGACUUGGUGAGUUAGAGGAUCAACCUGUAUUGGCAAGAGAAGAGACCAAUUCAGAACCAACUACCAAAUCUUAGAAAACACUACAUCAUGUUCACAUAAGGCAUACCAGAACAUUUUGUGGCUUCACAUCCCUGUGGCAAACUCCUGGAACAGCAUGAAUGUAAGCCAGCCCUCUAAAAAGCUGCAAACUUGGUAGAAGAAUCCUUAGAAAGGCAAUAAAGAAUAUAGGCAGGGAGGCAAUUGCUGAUAUUGUCGGUUCACAGACCUGAUACAUGUAAAGCUUGACAUAGAUAAGCGGCAUCCGCUGGUUGGCAUUGCUGUAGUGUUUGAGCACACGGUAUAGAGUCUCAGGUACAUACUCCAUGACAAGGUUCAAGAACAGCUCAUCCCUGCUCGUGGUAGAGAAGAAGCAGUGCUUCAGAGAGACUACAUUGGGGUGGUCCAUGGAGCGCAUAAGCUGCAGCUCACGGUUCUUGUAACGCCGGUCCUGCAGCACCUUCUUGAUGGCCACGGUCUCCCCUGUCUCCAAGCACUUAGCCUGCAUAGUCAAUUUGAUAAACAUUGAGUCAACUAAUGUUCAACACAUAAAAAGCAAUAGCAAGACCUCGGGCCGUACCUGGAAAACAAUCCCAAAUGAACCAGUUCCUACUACUCGCUCGGCCAUGUAGCUAAUUGUCUGCAAUCAGAAUUAAAACAACACAUAUGAGUAUUCUGGUUUCAGAUGAGACCAUAAACAAUAAUUAGCUCAGAUUGAAUACUGCACACGAGUUGUAAGAUUUCAGUCAUUGCACAACCAACUAGGAUUAGAAGCUGAGAAUUAUUCUCUAGAAACAACAACUGAGUACUAAACAAGCAGUGAAUAGCAUUUGAAAUGGGCACUUUCGCCACUUAUGGUUAGCAAGCACUAAAUCGAGCGGUAAACACACAAUUUCACUGCCACAUACCAAACAAUUUGUAAAUCGGGAAAAAAAAACACUACAAAUGAUAGCUGGCUCAGAUUGAUUACUGCACAUUAGAGUUGCAAGAUAACAACCACCUGAUAAUUAUCUUCUAGAAACAACAAAAUAAGCACUACACAAGCAAUGAAAAGCAUUCCAAAAUGUGUCUUCCCCGUAAUACGGUUAGCGAAAACUAAAUCAAGCGGUAGCCACACAAUUUCGCUGCCACAUACCAAACAGUUUGUAAGAUUUCAGUCAUUGCACCACCAACUAGGAUUGGAGGCUGAGAAUUAUUCUCUAGAAACAACAACUGAGUACUAAACAAGCAGUGAAUAGCAUUUGAAAUGGGCACUUUCGCCACUUAUGGUUAGCAAGCACUAAAGCGAGCGGUAAACACACAAUUUCACUGCCACAUACCACACAAUUUGUAAAUCGGGAAAAGAAAACACUACAAAUGAUAGCUGACUCAGACUGAUUACCGCACAUUAGAGUUAGUAUCCUCUAGAAACAACAAACUAAGCACUAAACAAGCAAUGAACAACAUUCCAAAACGUGCCUUCCCCAUAAUACAGUUAGCAGGCACAAUCAAGCGGUAUCCACACAAUUACACUGCCGCAUACCAAACAGUUUGUAAAACGAAAAACAAAAACUAAUUUCUUGUCAACCAAACCCACAAAUUUAGCCACGUCACUAAGGACUUGAUUGGAUUGCGUCCUGGUGUGUUUCUAGCCUGGCCUGAUGGCAGCUGGACAUGUGACGGCAAGAUGUUUGGUUCGCGUCCAUCCAGGCAGCAUGCGCCUGAGUCAGGCCAGCGAAAUCGGUCGCCUGAGCACGCCUGGUUUGACCGCCACUAACUCGCCUGACCAGGCAGCAAUUUUCGUCAGGCAUCUUGUCCAGGCCUCCAACCAAACAGCCCCUAACUUCCGGGACGAAUCAACACCAGGCCACCAAAUUCCAUCCAAACGACACUACUGGAUGCCUCUUGCUUCACUACCGCCGAGCUAUGUCCCGUUCAUCUCAACUACCAUAUGCGUUAACAUUGACUAGAAUGUAACAUAAUGGCAUGGCAUGCUUAAAACAGCACAGGAAGACGUACAAAGACACACUAGUCAUGCAACGACACUGCAAAAGUCGAUAAACUUAGAGAAAACGGAGCUCUAGCAGCUAAUUCUGCUAGGGAACACAAAUCCCUUAGCAGCGGCAACAGAUGAUGCCGCCCACAACAUAACAGAGCAAGGAAACCACUGUAGGAAGAAAAGGGCACAUUCGGCGGUACACCGGCGCGAGAGCGCGAGACCGGGACCCCAAGCUAGCUAGCUGCUCACCCGCUUUGGCUCGCCGUUCUUCCCGCCGAUGGUGGUGGAGAUGAUGUGGCCGGUGACGGGGUCGCCCCCCUCCUCCUUCCUCUGCAGCUCCAAAAACGCCCAAAAUCAGCCAAGCAAGCACCCAGAGCAGCGGAUCGGCGGCGAAACCCAGCUCAGAUCCAGCGCAGGGCACCAGAUCUGGAGGGAAAGCAAAGGAAAAAAAACGGCGGGUACCUUGUCGCCGACAGCGGGGCCCGCGACGGCGGCGCCUGGCGGGGGCGCGUCGAGCGCCAUGGCCUCCGACCCCGGCGGCGCCUCCAUGGGUCGGUCGGGGUUGCGUGUGCUCCGCAGCAGCAAGGGCGAGGGGGGGGGGAAGGAAGGAGGGCGACGCGCACACACCACCUACAACAGCUUGCUGCUCCUGCUGCGCUCUCCUACUUCUCUCCGCUUGGCUUUGUUUUGCCUUUGCGUUGGGGGUUGGGAAUGGGAUGGUGGCUGGCUGCGCGCUUUGCUUUUGACCGGUCUGUCUGGGGUGUGGGGUGGCGUGUCGUGGGGCUGGCUAUGAGUACCGGAUGCCGCUUUGGACAAACCGGGGAAUUCGGGAAAUGGAUGAUUUAUCUUUGGUGAAUUUUUAAGUGCCGCUUCAGUUUAGUGGAAGAUAAACCCGGUCGAAAGUGGAAACGGUCGGCCACGUCAGUUUUGCUGUUACUGCUAGCAGAGUUUUAGUUUCCUGUUCUGGAAACGAUCGGUGUCAAAACUAGUUCAUUUUAAUGGCGGGGUCGUUUUCAGUGACAUGUGUCAGCAGGAGGUUCGUUAGAUGAUGGAUAAGGACGGGUUAUCGCCGUUUUACAGAAUAAACGUAAAGGGCAUAGUCAAUAUGCUUCUUUUAAAGGCAAAAUGCGUUGUUGUUGUCCUCGUUGUUUUGCUGAUUUUCUGGGACACGUGUUUAUCAUCUUGGAUAAAUCGGGAUGAAAUGCUCUUAGUAAGCGUGGUAAUCUGUUGAGACGGGUUACGCGUGGAGACGAGAAAUAUCAUCUCGCAAUUUGGAAAGCUUGGUACAAGGCAUGCUUUGAUCGCCGCAUAAAAUUUAUCCUGGAAUAGCGAUAUCGAAUAUAUAUCUCUAUAGUAUGUAUUAAUCGAUUGACUAUUAAUUAGAAGUUAUCCGGCAAUUGAUACAUGUCGGAUGACGGCUGGCACGUUAUGUGGACAAGAAAUGAUUAUCUCGCUUAAAGGAAUAAAAACAUAAGGGCGUAGUCAUUACUCAUUACUUUAUUUUAGCAAAAAAUAGAUUGUUUUUGUUUUUAUAGAUUUUAGGAAUGCAUAUUUUUCAUGUACUCUCUCCGAUCCAUAUUAAUUGUCGAAAUAUUACAUGUAUAUAGAUGUUUUUUAAACACAAAUACAUCCAUAUUUGGGCAAAUUUGAGACAAGUAAUAUGGAUCGAGCGAGUAUACUACUACGGAAAAUUUUAGGAUGAUUUCACAUAUGUGUGAUGUGUGCUAACAGGUUAACACAAGAAAAAGGUGGGUCACCCAUGGAGAACUUCAAUAUCAUCAAUAGAAUUUGAAAAUAUAGUAAGGAAAGCAGUAUAGCUAAAGGAGAACAAGUACCGCAUUUUUGCUUCAUCUUUAAUUCAUGGCAUGCUUUGAUCAAGGUAUAAAAUUUAGAGUGAAAUAUACUGGAAGUUAUAAGAGUAUUGUAGGGCUGGAAGUUAAAGGACAUGGUCAAUAUGUUUGUUUUAGUGGCAAAAUGCGUUCUUUUAUAGAUUGCUGGGACUCAUGUUUACCGUCCAGGAUAAACCGGGGUGAAAUUUCAUUAGCAAGUGCGCUAACCGGUUGUUGCAAUUUACGUGCGGAGACGUGAAAUAUCAUUUCGCAAUUUGGGAAGUUCGGUACAAGGAAUGCUUUGAUCGCGGCAUAAAAUUUAUCCCGGGAUAGUGAUAUCGUAUUUCAUGUAUCUGUAUAGUAUGUAUUAAUCGAUUGCCUAUCAAUCGGAGACUAUCUGGCAAUUGAUACUCGUGGGGCGACAGUUGGCUCUUUAUGUGGACGAUAAAGGAUUAUCCUUAUGUUGUUUUGUUUUACAGAUUCUUGGAAUUCAUAUUUUUCAUGUUUAGUACUGUGGAAAAUUUUAGGGUGAUGCUUCGCUAAUACGUGUGCAAUGUGCUUAUCUGUUAACGCAAAAGGAAGUUUGGUGAGGAAAAGGUAUAGUAUUAAGUGAAGGGGCGCGUAGAGAUAAACAAAAAAAAAAUCCUACGCGAACUCCCAAGAUCUAGCCAAGGUAGAAGGCCACGAGGAUUACCACUAGACGCGCGGUUGCGGAUUAUUGAUGCAGCGCCUUGAUGCAGUGCGGUCCCUCGAUCCGAUCCAGCCGAUCCAAUCCCGCGACCGUCGAAGUGCUGAACGUACAGCACCUCUGCCGGUAUCCACACGUGCGAGGAGGAGCUCCGGCGGCGGACUGUUAGGUCCGGUGCGACGGUUGGACUGAAUGGGGCUAGGGUUCUCAACGCAUGAGAGCGGCGAACCGUGCCCCUUAGGCAUCCCACGCCCCUGCUUAUAUACCGAGUGGAAGUGGGCUCCAGCACUUGUGGCCCAUCCACUCUGCGAGUCCAACUCGCAUUGUCAGUCCAUUUCCGGUUCGGGUCCAACCCGACCAAAUACUUGCUCCCGCUCUUAACUGUGUGACCCCGCAGGCUUAUGGCGACUUGGACACGAUUGGAGUCCGACUCUCAAUCGAUUAAUCGGCAGCGGCUCCUAGCAGAACGUGCCGACUCCCAAGUACCAUCGAGUCAUGACGACGUACCUUCCAAUGUGACAUACGUCUUAGUCCCUUUUGCCUCACGAUAUACCUUGUCGAACUAUAGGCGAUUAAUCGUCAUCCUUUUAAUAGUUCAACUCUCUUCUCGAUCUGUGAUAUACGAUUCAUCCGACUAACUCUUAGUCGAUCGACCCGGUUAACAGUUAACCGAGUCGCGCAUGGCCAUGCUUCCCGAAUCAUAUCACUCGAGAGGGCCCAGAGAAUAUCUCUCCAGUCGGAGGGGCAAAAUCCCAUCUUGGUUAUCCACAUCACACAGCUUGAUUCUCAGUCAACCCGAACUCUGCCUUUAUAACUGCCCUGUUACGGAACAACGUUUGACAGAACCUAAGUUGGUGAUCCACAACUCGGAUUGUGCGAUAACCUCAGGUCUAAGGAUUACAUUGAUUGAGACAUGCAAAUGACGACCUACUCGUUACAUCUCAAUAUGGGUCAGUCCGACUCGCUAAACUCUUUAGCCGAGUCCGUGUAAGCUGGAAUGACAUCACCAUGCCCAUGACAAGUGGGACUGAGUCAUCAACCAAAUUUCACAUUAGUCUAGGUUAUGUGUCCAGCACAAUCUCAAUGACUAAGGACAAUUUAGUAUGAACAACAUGAAUACAUAGUUCCACAAUCAAAUCACAUAUUCAAUUAUACAUAUCAGAUGUUCAAAUAAAGACAACUUAAUAAUCUUUAUGAAUACAUUGGGAAUUACAUCAUAUAUGAUUGCCUCUAGGGCAUAUUCCCAACAUUAAGGACAACAACUACUACAUUUCGUUUCAUCUUUCUUCAAAGCAUGGUUUGAUCACGGUAUGAAAUUUAGAGUGAAAUAUAGUAUUGUAGGGGUGUCAAGAUACGCUUAUUAGUACAAAUAUGCAUAUUUGAAUCCUAAAACUACGCUAAGUAAGUCAUCAGAGCUCAUAUCCCGCAUGCCUCGUGAGUUGACCGCCGCAACAUGUGAUAUAUUUUACAGAAGACUUCCUAAAAAGCCACUUCUCAUUUUGCGCCCUCUCUACACCAUGUUUCCCGACUCAAGCUCGGCUGGGCUCGCCAGCGUGUGUGAGCGAGAUGCAACCACAUGAGUAGGCAAAGCUUAGGGCGUGUACAAUGGGGUGACGUCAGUCUUUUCGUAAGGCUGCCAAGUAGGAUAAUUGCUGACGUGGAAGAGAGAGGGUUGAAGUAAGGCAUGAGCAUUAUCUUAGCUAAGAGAUGAUCUCUUCAUGAGAAGGACAAGACAAACAAAAGUCAAAUUUCUCACUGUACUAGAUUUCACCUUUCUUAACAUUUAUUUGAUUAAUUUAUUCAUUUAGGCAUUAAUCGUAAGAUAUGACGCUAAGAGAUGAUCUAUUGUACAACAUGAUUUAUUGUCUUAUCUAAAUGGCGUGUAACACAUGAGAGAAGACAGCCUUAUCAACCACUGUACAUGCCCUUAUGUGAUUCAGGCAGGACAUCAGAUGGUAUGCUUACUAUACUUUCGAGGCCUGGACCCACAUUUUAAUAGUAUUAUGACUAAGUUCGCACCACUAAAAAUACUAUAAACACUUGCACACAUUUCACUCUAAAUGUCAUCCCAAGAGGGCAUGUCCUCUUUAUUGUGCAUUAACCAACUACAUUUUUUAUUUAUCACUUUGCUUAAGCUGUAGUGAUUUUUCGGUUAUGACAACAUCUGUUUCGUCUUAAUUCAAGACAUGUGUUUCUCAUGGUAUAAGCAUUAAAUAUACACAUAUACCUACACACUAAAACGCCUCUAGAUGUAUGCAUAUUUCUGUCCAAACAAAGUUGCAACAAUUAAUAUGGAACGGAGCGAGUAUUUCGUAAAAAAAAACCUUUUAAAAUGUUCCCACUUCUCAUCUGAUAGCCCUCUCUGCGGAUGUGUAUGGAUUGAUAAUGGUACACCCGACGAAACCCGUUUCGAUGACCGUGUAGAUGGGAGCAACAAGAGUAUUAGGAAAGGAGCGGAUGCCACAAACUGCCGGGCGAAUCGAACGGAUGUGAAGGAAUUUGACAAACCAGAGAAAGCGGAGCGCGUCCCGGCGUGAGACGAGAUGCGGCCCACCAAGUGAGCAAUACGAUAAAGGUAAGCGUCCUGACUAGGGUGUUUUCUCUAGAAUUUUUAGACCCUUACGCAUUACUUUAACAAUUCAAGUGUUCUAACCACAUGAUGCAGUUCUUAAGUGUGCUAACCACAUAAUAUAAUUCGGGUUAUACCACACUUAUAAGAAUUUUAUGCAGAGUUGUUCAAUGCACGUCGUUUCAGACAUAGAAAUUGGAACACAAAUUCCUGAAACCCGCAGGAAAUGAUCAAAAAACCGGAACUAACUAUUUUGGCAUGAAUGCAGACCAGGUCCUUGAAUUCGACCGCAGCCUGAUUCCAACCAGAAAAAAACCCACCAAGCUCAUGCCUCCGUACCUCCGGACGGUGUGCCCGCCCGAACCGAUUCACGAACGAGCCAGACUCAGCCGCGGCGUGGCAAUCAAAACUCAAAAGACAAGAGUGGAUUGGAUCGCCGGGGAGCCUGCGCGCGGGGUGUCCGGUGCUCCGACAGCGCGGCCCGCCCUUGACCCUCAUCCGCCAUUUCUUUAACCCAAGCUACUCCUACGGCCUAGAGACGGAUGGGGCUCCGGUCCGGUCCGGUCCGAUUAUUAUUUCGCAGCAGCGUAGCGCCCCAUAAAUUAUUUGCGUUCGUCCUUGGCGCUGGCCAUCCCGUCGCGCCACAUGCAUGCUGGCCUCUGCCCCGCGCUGUGCGGCACGGCAUCGCCACCGACCGUUGCUACUUACUCACUGCUCGUCCCGUCCAGUCGGCCUCUGCCUCUGCCCGCGCUGUACCCCGCGCCACGCCGUAUGCACAUACACCACGCGCUUGACACUUUGACCGCUGAGAACCCUUAAAGAACGAAGAAAUUAACACCGGGCUAAUUGUUCUGCAUUCAUUCGAUGGUCCUGCCUGCGUCUACUACGAUUCCGCAUAUGCCUCCGACAGUCUGAUCCGUCGCUAGCAGCCAACGCUACAGCCAAGCCAUCAUCUGCAGAGCCGAUCUACUGAUCAUAAACUCAUCCUUCCUUCCUCCCUGUUUACCGACUGCGUCUACUGCGUCUAGCUUUCGGCUCUGCGCCGCGCUGCUUCCCAUAAGCUAGGCUCGUUGUUAAUCCCGCCGAGAACUUGGACCCUUUCGGAAAACCCGGAACGGCAGGGUACUACUACCAGGAGUAGCUAGCCACGCGAUGACCGAGAACCGGGUAGGUUUUGACCGCCUCCAGAGUCCAUCCAGACGACGCCUGCAGCGCCCUGGCAUUGGCAUUGCAUUGCUUGCCCUGGGUUCGGUAAACCUGCCGCGCCGUCCCUCCCUGCCGCAAGCUAUUCCUAGACGACCUGACGCACGCAACGGGGCGCUGAGCCGCUGACGUUACCACUCGACCGGCCGGCCGGCCGGCCGCCUUGACUUGACCGGCCGGGAGCAGAGCAGCUGGCUUGCCUUGCCGACCUAGGCAAAAUUCAGCAGUGGUGACGCUGUAUGUACUGCCUGGGUACUAUCGAGACAUGGAAAACUAACCACGUUCAACGCGCAGUAGUGCCCCUGUUUUCCUCUGAUUAAAACCGUUUGCCGCGCACCGUUCUCUAUCAUUCCUGGAAUGCCAUGCGUUUCCGAUAGCGAUUUUUGCUACGAAUAGAGAUUUUCUUCGAUUCGGCUGAGUCCACUGAGAACAUGGAAAUUAAUAUUCGUGCAAGCAAAAGAGACGGUCUCGAUUGAACGGCUAUCUUGCAAUUUAUUUCCGUCGAACCAGCAACAUGCUCUUCCUUCCAAAUCUCGUACUCAUAGUACUGUGAUGAGCUUGACUAGGCUGGUCGUCUUUUUUGUUCUUCUGUACUAGUACUAGUACUACAAAAAGAUUAACGGAAAAAGGGGUGUUCUCGUUCUGAUGAAGCAUACUCAACGGCUGCACCGCUCCUCUUUCAGUGCUGCGCUCGAAUGAUUGAUGGCCAAGCUCGUCUCGUCCCCAUUAUUAUUCUUUUCUCCAAAUAGAAUACGGGGUACGUUCGAUGGGGAUUCGGGAGCAGUAGUAAGAUUUUUAACACGCUGGACGCAAUUAUCAGCGAACAGGAAGGAAGACGGUGCCAUGUGGUGGGCCAGGGAAUGCCCUCGAGACGCAGAUACAGGACACAGAUGGUGUCACAUCCAACAUUGACCAAAAUAGGGAACAAGGGACCUCAAUCAUGCUGUGUCGUCCGUCGAUGAUCAGCUUUGUUUGCCGUUCCCAUCCAAAAAACCAGCGAGGCUUUUGCUAAUUGGGCAGAGCAAUGGGACGGAGGACGUUAACUACGGAGAAGCUGCUCCAGACAGAGGAAAACAACAAGCUCGUAGACUUUGGCCUAAUUUGGAGUACUAGCACGUUGCUGCUAAAAAUCUUCUUCGUUUCCAAACGGAAGAUGAUGUUCUUUUUUGCCAGGUUUGAGGGCUUUUUUUGGCCCUUGCAUUCAUUUUGUUAAAUUUAAAGUUUUGUUAUUAACACUUAUAUUUUACACCAUAUACUCCCUAGAACAAACUCAAUUGGACACAUAUGGGUCUUCUUAGAACAAACUCAUGUUUAUGGUAACUUUGUCUAGUGUUAGGCACAGUGCAAAACUGCAAAUGAGUCCGUGCAUGAUGCAUGUAACGGUUUGAGUGUAUGUAAGCGCACGCAUCCUCUCGCUGUUUCAGAAAAUAAAGAACUUGCGGAUGAGAAAAUAGUUUUUGUUUUUUGAGAAAAGGAUGGAAAAAAAAAAGAUUUGCAAGAAGAAAGCUCGGUAGACAACAUGGGCUCUGUAAUCAGAAUUGGCCCGGGCUGGUUGGACCACAGGGCCAAUUUCAUGGCUGAGCCCGUGACUGCGAAAUGAGUCAUGUAUUCUCCAUUAUUCCUUACAGCCUUCUGCGCUGCUGGUCAUCCCCAAAUGCAGUACUCCGUUAAAUGUAAAUACCACAUUUGGCCCUUCAAGGAAAUGUAAAUGCCGCAUUUAUAAUAAUAUAUGAAAGUACAACCGUAAAUGAAAUUUGUUGAAGUGCAAAUGAUACACUCCGAGUUCAGUAAAACACAAACCACAUUUCGUAAACAGUUGACUAUCUGUCACACAAUUUUUUAGAAUGUAACACUCCCCGUUAGAAAGGAAAACCCAAGAAUUGCCCGAUUUAAAAUGUGUAGGUGAUAUUAUUAUUGAUUGUGUCAUCAACACUUGUUCUGUGGAAAAAUGUAGGAUACAUUUUGACUGUCUGAAUUUUUUUUCUGAUCAAUGAAUAAAAUUCUAACAAUAUGUGAGUUAUGCCACAUACAUUUUGUGGCAGUUGAAUUUUUGAUUAUGUGUAUUCCGAUAGAAAAUAUAACAGAAGUUCAGAAUAAGAUAGGAAAAUAUAAAAGUUGAACACUAGAGAUGUUAGACGCACCGUCAAUGUGAAUUGUGCGUAGCUCGAGGGGCUUGGUUACUUGUAGUGGAACAAUUCCACCUAAGUUCAACUUCUAGACAUGAUAUACUUUUACAUUUAAAUUUCAUUAAUUAGCCGGCGAUAUACUUCCAGUAGCAGGUGAUGUUAUCGUUAACUUGAAGAUCGACCAACUCAGUCUUUUCAAGGUGCUUACAGUGGUGAGUGUACAUUACAUAGGCAAUGGACGGAUUUGAAGUUGGACUGUGACCCAGAGCCUCGCCCGGGCGGCGCGGGUGAACAACAGGUGAAGUGAUCAUCACUGAUCUGAUGUUCCGACUUUCGACUUCACCCAGUAGCACGGGUCCGUCCGUUUGUCCGGACGUGUGGCAACUUGGGGACGUGCCGACUGAUCGAUUGAUGCUAGCUCGACGGUGGUUGGUGCCACAUGCAUUGCCAUGCACGCGACAUUCCUCCGGUGGCCACUCCAUAGGGGCUCGUCGCGCUGGCGCGAAUCCACGGGCGACGAAACCCGCUGGAUCGCCGAGGUUGGUUUCCGUCCGGCUCGUGCUCCAUCGAUCUGUCCGUGGACACGCCACUCGAGCAAACCAACAAACCGAACCCACGUGUCAGCUGUCACCUUGCAAGAAUACCGAUCGACGACAACGUCCUAUCCGAGCUUCCCCUGGCAGUCGAUCUGUACCACUCCAGUUUAUAGCAGUAAAACAGCACACAGACAAUCUUCUGCGGUUUCACACGUUACGCUUCAGUACACCACUUCGACGUCCAAUUUUCGGUUUCGACUCUGCAUGCGCGACACACAAUCACACGCUUACGCCGAGCAAACCAAGAAUCCAAGGGUACGCGCCGUGUGAGCCGCAGGUUUUCCCGUCUCUGGCGCUGCCCCUCGCCUGUCCUAUAUGAGCCCGCGGCGCGGGCUUUACACCUUGUGUUUUCUGUAAGACUGUAACACUUGAGCCUGUCACUCCGAGAUGACUAGCAGAGCGUCAGUGACGGCGGGAGCGCGCGUCGUCGCAGUUGUUCUGGCCGCGGCCGUCGUGGCGGUCGGCGGGCAGCUAAUGCCGGGGUUCUACGACGCGACGUGCCCGGGGCUGCCGUCCUUGGUGCGCCGCGGCAUGGCGCAGGCGGUGCAGAAGGAGGCGCGCAUGGGCGCCUCCGUCCUCCGCCUCUUCUUCCACGACUGCUUCGUCAAUGUACGUCACUUGCUAUACACAUCCGAUCAAGUCGCAUCCAAAUGCACGUUACGUACCGUCGUGUUUCAGGCCUGGGCAUCGCGUACGGGCAGCGUUUCUGAUAGAAUUCAUGGUGCAGGGGUGCGACGCGUCCAUCUUGCUGGACGACACGGCCAACUCCCCUGGCGAGAAGAACGCCGGGCCGAACGCCAACUCGGUGCGCGGCUACGAGGUCAUCGACGACAUCAAGGCGCACGUCGAGGCCUCCUGUAAAGCCACCGUCUCCUGCGCCGACAUCCUCGCCCUCGCUGCCCGCGACGCCGUCAACCUGGUCCGCUCCUCUCUCAUCUCUCUCCCAAGAAACACAUGUCCGAUCGAGUGAGUUUAGCUAGCUAGUGGCAUUGUUAAUUAAUCGAUCGCGUGGCUGGAUGAAUGCAGCUCGGGGGCCCGAGCUGGACGGUGCAGCUGGGCCGGCGGGACGGCCGCGACGCGAACCAAUACGCGGCGAACCAGAACCUGCCACCGCCAGACGCGACGCUCCCGGACCUCCUGGCCCGCUUCCGGUCCAAGGGCCUGGACGCCCGCGACCUCACCGCGCUCUCGGGGGCCCACACCGUCGGCUGGGCCCGCUGCGCCACCUUCCGGGCCCACGUCUACAACAGCAGCGGCGCCGCCAUCGACGCCGCAUUCGCCGCGGGGCUGCGGGCCAGGGCGUGCCCGCCGGCGGGGGGCGGCGGCGACGGCAACCUGGCCCCGCUCGAGCAGCGCGCGCCCGCGGCCUUCGACAACGGCUACUUCAAGGACCUCGUCGCCCGCCGCGUGCUGCUGCGGUCCGACCAGGAGCUCUACGGUGGCGGCGGCGGCGCAACGGACGCGCUCGUGCGGGCCUAUGCUGCCGAUGGGGCCGCGUUUGCGGCAGACUUCGCCGCGGCUAUGGUGAAGAUGGGCAGCCUCGCGCUCACCGGGAACAGCGGCGAGGUCCGGCUCAACUGCCGCAGAGUGAACUGAUCGGAUCCAUCCAGUUGAAUCAAACUGAUGGAUCGUUUGAUUCUUUAUGUACUCUUCGCAAAAAGCACCAAUUGUUAAGCCUCUUUUGACAAAUAAAGAAAGCAAAAAUUAGCGAUUUCAGUUUCAAAUUUUUUUUUAGUGCUUUUGAUUCCAAUCUGACAAGCUUCGAUCGCCAAGGCAGAUACCUGAUCCGUGGCAGGGGUGAGGUUUUAGUUCUGUACGGACUACGGAGACCAUGGUUUAGCCAUUUGAUGUGCAAAAUGGACCAAAAUGGACGGUUGAGAUCGGGGCAGGGAAUCUCCCGCGGGCCAAUGGGACGCUCACUGGAUAUGUAACGUUUGAUUCGCGGAAGGCAAAGGCUCGUGGCUGUCUGUCAAAAGUGUGUGCCAGAUUCUUAUCCGUGUCAAUUUCACUCACUCAGUGAGCUGUGUUUGUCAGAUAGCUACAGAAGGAAGAAAUUAACUCUGAAACUAGAGUCUACAACCGUGCAAUUACGUGUGUAAAAUUAGAUAAUUUUUCAGCCUUGCACUCGCAGCCAUCAUGGGAAUAGGGAAAAUAGAGGAUUGAGAUGUGAUGGACACUUUAAUUCUUAGAAAUUUUAAAUGAAAUCUCACCUUCUAUGUAUAUCCUUAGAAAUUAGAUUAAAUUUGAGACCAAUCCUUAGAAAUGUAGCAUCUCAUUUGGUAUGAAACGAAUGCUACGCAUAAGAAAAAACCCUGCUCAUCAUCGCGCAUUGGGCAUUUCUAGCUUCUGACGCUUACACAGCUAAUGAUCGACGCUUCCUCGUGACUCCCAACUGAUGGAACCAAUCGUUGACCUCCCCGGAAACAUGACACAAGCCGAGCCAGAAAAGUACUUUGCAGAGUGAGCCGCGGUCACAUGGACAGACAUAUCGGCCCCCAACGUUUUCUUAACAGGCUACAUUAUCGCGCUGGACAGGCAGGAACAACGUAAUUGGGAUGGAGACUGCGAGUACAGGUUAACAUAUAGCAAUACUUCUGCUAAUACACGCUUGCAUGGGGAGGGAAUAAAUUAAUACUUCCACGAAGCAAGCACAUUUGAAGCAGCAAUCUCCUCUUGCCCCGGUCGCGCAAUAAACAGGCGGAUCUAGCAGCAACGCAAGAGUCCAAUUUCCUUGUGACUGCAAACUCAGUACUUCUAUUUUCUGCCGAAUGUAAUCAAAAGAUCAAACAAUUUUUUUGGUUUGCUUAGCCGAUUAGCUAGCUUCAUAGUGAAGCCAACUGUUCAUAACAAGUGAGUACUUACCAAUUAACAAAAGAGAUAAAAAUAAUCCAAGACACUGCGCAAUAAACAAAGCGAACCAUUUAGAGAUAGGCAUAUAUGUGACUAGGCGUGUUCAUCAUGUUUAGACCAGCCAUAAAUUCCUUUGGUAUUCUCUGUGUACUGAAAAUUAGUCAUGCAUACUUGAAAAGUUUUUAGAAGACUUUGAAUAAUUGGAGAAAUAAGAUAUUUACAAGAAGCAUGGGAAUGUUUGUCUUGAAAAGAUUAGAGUAAUUUUAGAAGGCUUCAGAGGUUACAUGGAAAUCGAGAUAUUUGCCAUGGAAGCUCCUAGAGCAAGUCCAUGACAAACAUAGAAAUAUUUUAAAGAGCAAGCGAGAUUACUUAAAUAGAAAUGAUAUUUAUCGUGGAAGACACUAGAUAUUGAUGGAGAAUACACUAGAGCAUACAAUAGUAGGUCUAGCCCCCCGGGAAAUCCUACUAUUACAAUGUUUUUGUUUGACAGAGACAAGAAUGUAUAUAUUGGCUUGCCAAUACGUGGAUAUGGCCGCCUGAGCUAUUUGCAUGAUAUUGUCAUUCAGUAAACUAAUGUGAUCAGCACAAUCUGCACGUUCAUUCACCUAAUUAUUUUUGCUAAUGGUAUGUGAUAUGCAUGAAAUGUUUUCAGUCAUUUUAUUGUACAUGCAACAAAUGUGACUAAUAUAAUAAAGACCCAAGCAUUUUAAGCCGUGAAAAUAUUAUACGCCUAAUUAGUUUAUAGUACAACGAAGAAAAUGUUAUCUACGAAUGAUGUUAGACUAUGCGCGAAGCGAAGCGUCUGAGACUAUCUAGUAUCAAAUAAUUUGAGACAUUAAAACAUUCAAAACAUUGCCAUAUAUAAUAGAUGGAGAUCUAGGUAUAAUUGGUUAUCCGUGAUAUCCAAAUGACAUUCAGAACAUAAAACAAGUGACCAUUCUAGCUGCUGCCGUGCACGCCGCAAACGCGUCGGCGUCGGCAUCGGUCGCUGCCAAAUGCGCCGCUAGCACCGCCGCCCAUAUUGCGAAGCACUCCACCGUUGCGGCAGACUGCGAUUCUGAGCCGGAGCGGGAUGAGGAGAUCGGGAUGAGGAGAUCGGGAUCUCAUCCCUGCCUUCCUUCAAACCAUGGCGCUCGCUCUCGUCCUCGUCCUCAUCCACCUGAACCACGGUCUCGUCCGCCUGGACAUCGACCUCCUCAUCGACAUUCAACGACCUGACGGUGAGCAUGCUUAAAAUUGCGGUCAUUUUACUUUCUUCGUGUGUCCCUGUUUCUCGGUUAUUUAAUCGUGCCGUAGUUCCUUUUCAUUCGUUCCAAUCGUUCAAAUCGGGACGAAAUUGCAUCCGCAUGUUGGCUGCUGUUAUCUGCUUGUUUAGAUCGUUAUACGUCUAUGUGGCUAAACUAGAUCUUGGGUUUUCGAAUAUCUUGCGUACAUGUGAGUUGUGACCGUACUUUCUUCUUGUUUUGUCUCGUGCAGGAAAGUACUCACAUGUAUGACCAACAAGUUUUGUACUACGAGUGUUUCGUAUCAACGUGUAUUGGAGGGCCUGUCUAUCCAUCCUACUCCUCCUUCGUUCUAGCCGACGACCCAGAGUUCUUAUUGAUUUUAUUCUCAAUCGUGUCAACUAUUAUAGUGGUUUUUUACUUUCGAGGGAGGUGCAAGAAGAAGUAUAAGUGGGUGAGGAUAUGGAUCGGGCGAGUAGUCCUCCUCCUCUUGUGCAUAUGUAUCGAUAUUUUUUCUCUUGUACAUUGUACCAACAUUUUGCUUUGGUUUCUCGGACCGCACACACCUUUCAACAAUUAUGGAACGAUUAUCCUGAUGUAACUUUACUCGUCCACAUCAUGGCGUGGCAUGCUAGAUUUCCUAAGGCAAGUUUUUUUCCCACACAAGAAAAGUUUUUUUUUCCCCGCACAUCUAUUACUUUCUGUUAUAAAACAUAUUCCUGAUAUGCACUUUUUUCGUAAGUCUCGUCCUCAUUUUCAUUUGUGCUAUAGGAUUGUUGUUCCGAUGAGCUCUGUGGGCGGUGCGGUCAUCUCAGAGAUGGUCUCAGAGAUGGUAUUCUCUUGAUGUCCGCUCAGCCGCUGUGGUCAGGCAAAUAUUGGGGCAGAGCUAAAAUGAUAGAGAACAAAGCAGAUCAGAGAGUACCAAAGGGUAUAAUCGUGAGAGUUUUUACCGUAGCUUGGACUCCACUAUUGGGAAUGGAGUGCCAUGCAAACCAGACCAUUUGAUUUAUGAGGUGGCGAGUAUCGAAUUCUCUUGCGACCACAAGUUUAUCCCAUCGGUAUGCAUCUCCUCGUGCUUGUCAUUUUCCCUGUCUCGCCCUCCUCGCUCCGAACGCGAUCGACAUUCGAUGCCACCGCCGCCGUGCCUCGUCGUAGCCAAUGUCUCCUAUAGCGUCCACCACCAUGUCAAGAAUCUCCGCCGCUUCCGAUUGAACCCGAACACGAGCACAUCCACCUCGGGACGCUGUCUGCAACGAGAUCGGCGCCGUCUCCCCAAACUCCGGCCAUUGCUGCUCCGCUGUCACACUUCCGUGCCUCCCCGAGCCUCGCCGACCCGUCUGCUAGCUUUGUGGUGAUCUGAGGAGCAUUUCCCCUCUCUUUUCGUAGCCUUUAGUGCUUUGUAGUGUCGUCUAGGACGAAGUCGACCGUCACCGCCGUUGUAUUGUCACCGGCGUAUCUUCGGCGACCAUCAGGUCGUUCCUCCACCGUAGUUAGGUUCAUCCAGGGCUCGUUCGAAUGAACCUAUCCACGUCCAGUUUGGUGCCAUGUACCGUUUCCGGCACGAUUCCGGUGUGCCCGAGCCGCGCCGCCAUGUUUUGGUCACCGUCGUCAGCCGCUGACCUCUGGGUCCGCUUGCUAGAGCUGGGACCCACUCGUCAGCGAGUUUAGCCAUUUUUGGAAAAUGAGGGAAAAUCCUGAUGGUGGGGCCCACAUGUCAGUUGACUAGUCCAUACCCGCGUGGCAGCACUGUUGGCCGCGGAUCCACAUGUCAAUGUUUGUAGCUAUUCCGGCAGUAGGUGACAAAAGUUGGCUAUAAAAAUAAGUAUUAAUCUGGAAUUCCAUUAAUAGCUUAAAAGGCCUCCAAACUUGGAAACUUCAUACGAACUCAGAAAAUACAAGUGAGUACAUCAAAUUGAUCAGAAAAAUGUGAUUUACCUGAUGGUGCCAUGUUCAUGCAUGUUUGGUCCACUUAGCUCGUUGUUCUUUAGUAAAAGAAGAGUGUUAGGCUUAUUUCUUAAUUAUGGAAUUCAUUACUAAAGCUUUAACCUGUGCAUGAUGUAUUAGCCUUAUUCUGAGUUGUAGAUUGUCAUGUCAUAUCAUUGCAAGUAUUACAUGCUGGUCUUGAGCAUAAGCGUAACAGUAGCUUGUUUCCCUUUUUCCGGUGUUUCAUUGGUAGAUCCAAGUUACGAGGUGGAACUUGAGCAAGACCCCGCCGACGUUGAGUUUGACCAAAAAGGCAAGCAAAACCCCUUUGUCCUCGCUGAAUGAUUGGUUCUAUUUUACCGCCCGGCCGGCGAGGGUGAACCACAGGUGAAAUGGCCAUCGCUGAUCUGAUGUUCCGAGUUCCGAUUUUACCCAGUAGCACGGGUCCGUCCGUUUGUCCGGUUGGUGCCACUACAUUGCCAUGCACGCGACAUUCCUCCGGUAGCCUCUCCAUACGGGCUCGGCGCGCUGGCGCUGCCUCGCCGGAUUCGACGGACGGGCAACCAAACCCGCUGGAUCGCCGAGGUUGGUUUUGGUCCGGCUCGCGCUCCAUCGGUCUGUCCGUGGGGACACACACACACAACACUCGAUUCAGUUUAUAGCAGUAAAACAACACACACUUGCACAGAGACGUACCCGGGGCCGCCUUCGCCGCGGGGCUGCGGCCUGCGGGCCAGGGCGUGCCUGCCGGCGGGGAACACCCAUCUAGUCGAAUCAAAUCGAUCCAUCGUUUGAUUCUUCUUGUACUCUUCGCAAAAAGCAUCAAUUGUUAAGCCUCUUUCUGAUAAAUUACAAAUGCCGGUCUUGCACUUUUAAUUCCAGUCUGAUAAGCUUCGAUCGCUCAAGGCAGGUAACCUGAUCCGUGGCAGGGGUGAGGUUUUAGUUCUGUACGGAGAACAAGCUUUAGCCGUUUGAUGUGCGAAAUGGACGGUUGAGAUGGGGGCAGGGAAUCUCCCGGGCCAAUGGUACACCGGCUAGACAUGUGCCGUUUGAUUCGCGGAAGGCAAAGGCUCGUGGCUGCCAGAAAACUGUUUUGCAGAGUGAGCCGCAACCCACAUGGACAGACAUAUCGACCCACAACGUUUUUUGAAUAGUCUACGUUGUCGCGCUGGACAGGCAGGAACAGCCUAAUUGGGAUGGAGACUGCGAGUACAAGUUAACAUAUAGCACAACUCGUGAAAAUUAGCCAACAAUACUCCUGCUAAUAUACGCUUGCAUGAGCAGGGAAUAAAUCAAUACUUCUACGAAGCAAGUACAUUUGAAGCACCAAACUCCUCUUGCCCUGGUCACGCAAUAAACAGGCAGACCUGUUGUUUGCUAUGGAACGUCAAACACUUCUGAUAGCAACGCAAGAGUCCAAUUUCCUUGAGACUACAAAGUCAGUACUUCUAUUUUCUGCCAAAUGUAAUCAAAAGAUCAAGCAAAUUUUUUGGUUUGCUUAGCCAAUUUGCUAGCUUCAUAGUGAAGCCAACUGUUCAUAAAAAGUGAGCACCCGAUCAACACAAGAGAUAAGAAUAAUCCAAGGCAUCGCACAAUAAACAAAGCGAGCAAUUCAGAGAUAGGCACAUAUGUGACUAGGCGUGUUCAGCAUGUUUAGAAAUUUAUUUUGUAUUCUCUGUGCAUUGAAAAUUAGCUAUGCAUACUUGAAUUUUUUUUAGAAUACUUUGAAUAAUUAUAGAAAUAAGACAUUUACAAGAAGCUUGCGAAUGUUUGUCUUGAGAAGAUUGGAGUAAUUUAGAUGGUUUGAGAGGUUACAUGAAAAUCGAGAUAUUUGCCAUGGAAGCUCCGAGAGCAAGUCCACCAUGACAAACAUAGAAAUAUUUUAAAAAAAUUGUGAGAUUACUCGAAUAGAAAUGAUAUUUAUCAUGGAAGACAUGAGAGCAUAUAGUAGUGGGAAAUCCUAGAAUUACAAUGUUUUUGUUUGAAAGAGGCAACAAUGCAUAUAUUGGCUUGCCAAUACUUGGAUAUGGCCGCCUGAGCUAUUUGCAUGAUAUGCCCAUUCAUUAAACCAAUGUGAUAAACACAAUCUGCACGUUCAUCCACCUAAUUAUUUCUGUUAAUGAUAUGUGAUAUGCAGUAAAUGUUUUGAGUCGUUUUAUUGUACAUGCAAUGAAUGUGCCUAACGAAAACCCAAGCAUUUUAAACCGUGAAAAUAUUAUACACCUAAUUACUUUAUAUUACAACGAAAAAAGGUCAUCUAUAAAUGAUGUUAGACUAUGCACGCAACGGAGCAUCUGAGACUGUCUAAUAUCAAACAGUUUGAGAAAUUAAGACAUUCAAAAUAUUGUCAGAUAUAGUAGAUGGAGAUCUAUGUAUAAGGGUUCUUCUAAUUUGGAUGGAUGGAGUAUCAUCCCAAAACUAAACGGAGUAAUUAGAUAGUAGAGUAAAAUUGUAACUUGCCGCACCUCCAUGCUCUCGAUCAGGCCCCCGUCGGCUAUUUUGACGUUCUUUGGGGAGCCGCAGAUAUUUAUUUUAAUAUUGUGUUGGUCAGGAGUCGAACUCAAGAACCAAAAGUCCGAGCUGACGGAAAGAGUUAGAUAAUUUAUUUAAAGCACGUCUAUCACCUCAAUUCCUAGCGUGCAAAGAAGCUUUUACACAUAGCAAUCUCUGUUAUGGAAACCCGAUCCUUACGAGCUCCCCUGACAUUCUGGAUCUGCUAGCUUAGUUUUACUUUCUUCUAAGUUCCACGAAAAUAAGAAAACUUGUGCCCGACUAUUUCCUGAACAGUUCCCGCCUCGUUAAAUACAUAUGUGCCUCUCUUCGAACCCUCGAUUCGGGAAGAGUUCGAUCUCUUGAGGUCUUGCUUUGUGUUUCAAGCCCAAUUCGAGCUUUUGUUCCGUCUCUCCAGCAUCUCUAUGUCGUUGUUCCCGAACAAAGUCUCUGGCAUCAAUUGACCCAUCUCCUUGCUGAAAUGAAAGGAUCGGGCGCUCGAUGAGGAGCUGUUCCAUCUAUGUUGGUUUGACCUCACCCCGUUGGUUGCCGUCGCAUUCUAUCUGCCACGGCUCAUCUCUCGUGGUACCCCUGCACGACGCCGAGAAACUCAUCCACCACCUACGUCUACGACGACCGCGAGCCAACUGACCUCGACGUGACAUUCGCGCUCGCGCCCAAGGCCGAGCACGGAUCGCUUCUUCUUCACCCUCUCCAGGCAUCAGAAAGGUGAACCAUUUGGUAACUCAAAUCGACGCAGAUUCUCACUUGCCUCUUUUGGACGUCCCUUCCAAUUCAACCGUUUGGCUCACACACUGCAGCAAAGGCUAAUCCAUUUUAGUUUUCCAUUACAAAAUUCUUGCGUUAGAUUCAUUUUAUUCUUUCGGGAUGAAUUUGUUGAGCUGUUGUUGAAAAUCCUGUGCUAAAUCGACUGUAUCAAAAGUUGGAUUUACACUGGGCUUUGUUUGGGCUAGAAUGUGCAUCUGGGCUGGCUUUUCUUCACCGAGAAAGCUGGCUUUAUUCGCUUGGGGAAGUUCGAGAAUCUGGGUCGCUUCUUCGGGCCCUGCAGAGCAGUGUCCCAACCAGCCUCGGAGACUCACCAGUCACCAGUUCACUUCCCCUAAAAAAAAAAAACCAGUCACCAGUUCACCACCCUACUCUGUGCUGGACAGUGACUUGGCGGCGUUCCUGUGUUCCUAGUUCCUAGUAGGAAAAGUGUUUUAUACAUGUGAGCACUGACGUACUAGUGUAACAAAAACACAACUACCUGCUCUACUCUUGUACGUGUGUGGCUGCUACUUCAUCAAUCCUUUACUCGUGUGGCUGCUAUUCAAUUAGUGAUCGAUUCUUGUUAAACAAUUCCUCUAUUAUAUACACCCAGGUCAACCUACUAGCUGGAGUAAAGGAUUGUCGGAAUAAAGGAAAUCAAGUCGUCGGCAAUCUGAAAUGCAAGAUGCCGACUCAACUAACUAGGCCAAAGAUUAGUCCACGCACGCCGCACAGGCGCACAGCACACCCGACAAAAGGCUAGCAAGCUGCUUGUCUAAGCUCGUCCGGCGCCCCUACGUUCAUACACAACGUGCACGAGUCUGAAAUUGAAAUAGAUAGUCGUCUUGUGCUUUUCAUUUAUCGACCUCAAGACUCCCAGUGGGCUGUCACUCUCAAUCGAUCAGUACAUACCUGGUGGAAGCAGGAAGAUAUAUUAAUCGGUCAUUCACUUUGAUAAGUUUGCUUCCUCCACUAACAAAAUCAUCAUAUCUUCUUAUUCCCUCCUCUUCCACACGGCAUGCAGCUUCUGUUUCUCUUCCUAGAGCCACAGAGCUAGUUUGGAUCCGAAGAUAGCUGGCAUAGCAUGCCUGCUUGUUGCUGCUUCCGCGGCCGCGCUAAUCCCAGCAAGAAACACCUCAGCUACUCCCCUUCCGUUCCCGGUAAUUCGAUCAUAUCCUUAUUAAGAUUAUCAACUACUCCAGUAAUCUUAUAUUCUUGCUUGGAUUAACUAAUUUCUGGCGGAUCAUCAGCAUCGUCAUCGGAGCCGGAGACGAAAAAGAAGAAGAAGUUCAAGGUGUUUACGUACAGGGAGCUGCGUUGGGCGACCAACAACUUCCACCGGAGCAACAAGAUCGGCCAGGGCGGCUUCGGCGCCGUCUACAAGGGCACACUCCGCGACGGAUCCGACGUGGCCGUCAAGGUGCUCUCCGCCAGCUCCCGCCAGGGGAUCAAGGAGUUCCUCACCGAGAUCCACGUCAUCGCCGACGUGGACCACCCCAACCUCGUGGACCUCCUCGGCUGCUGCGCCCACGGCGACCGCCACCGCAUCCUCGUCUACGACCUCCUCCCCAACGGCAGCCUCCACCGCGCCCUCCUCUCGAGCACGGCGGCCAACGGCUCCUCCCGUAGGCUGCCGGCGGCGAUGACGUGGCGCGUCCGACGUGGCGCGUGCGUCGGCGUUGCGCGCGGGCUGGCGUUCCUGCACGAGGAGCUCGGCGUGGUGCACCGCGACAUCAAGGCCAGCAACGUGCUUCUCGACGCCGACUGGGCGCCCAAGAUCGGCGACUUCGGGCUCGCGAGGCUCUUCCCCGACAACGUCACCCACGUCAGCACACGCGUGGCGGGCACCACGGGUUACCUGGCGCCCGAGUACGCGUGGCACGGCCAGCUCACCAAGAAGGCCGACGUGUACAGCUUCGGCGUGCUCGUGCUGGAGAUCGUCACCGGGAAGAGCAGCUCAAGAAGUCUCCACCAUAAUUGCCUCUACAACGACGACGAUGAGAAGGUGCUGGUUGAGAGGGUGUGGGAGACAUUUGAGACCGGCAAGCUUGGUGACAUCAUCGACCCGGCUCUCGUGUUUCUGCCGGAGACGAAGGAGAAGGAGGAGGCCGUGAGGUACAUGAAGGUUGCGCUGCUUUGCACGCAGGCGGCGCCGCUUCGUCGGCCGGCGAUGCCGCAGGUGGUCGAGAUGCUGGAGAGAGGGGAUGUGAGGAUCAGGGAGACGGAGAUGACGCCGCCAGGGUACGUGGUCAAGUCUCAUCAUCGUCAGGACGGGUCGGACAAGAAACAUUCUUCCGUUUCGUCCAUGCUUGUUAAUGUUUCGCAUAGUACUGUCACUGAGAUUGCGCCAAGGUGAUCGGACUUUCAUUUAAUUACGAGUACUGUAUACUGGCAUCAUUCAUUCAUGAGUAUCGAUAAGAGCGAGCAAGCAAUUCCAGCAAAUGCUUAAGCAAAGAUCUCUGUUGCUUGGUUGGAUGUUGGAUGGAUCAAUCGGGAAUUCGAGAUGAGGUUGUAAACCCAAUACUUUGUUGUUGAGACACUCAAACAAUCGAUCGAUCGGGACUUUAAAACUCUACAAUACCAUACCGAUAUAAGCCGGCCCAUCUCUUUGAAGACAGCCUGCAAGGCCCAACUAUAAGCAAUAAUGUUGUUUCGCUAAAAAAAAAAGCAAUAAUGUUGUUGGGCACCCAUGUUAAUACUAAUACAAUUACAUUUUUUACUAGCGUCGUUUGAAAUAAAGAAAUUGUAAUGCAAGUUGGUCAUUGUUUUUUUAGUUAAUACUAAAAAAUGGGCAUGCAAGUUGGCUCAUUGUUUUUUCUACUAGCGUUGUUGACAAUCAACCGGGUGGCUAGGUUUUUGGCCGAGCGUAAUGAAGUCCAAAAUGGGCCACGCCCCCCUUCAAAAUUAAGAAUAAAUAAAUUAAUACCACACGUUAUAGCGCAGCGUCCCAACCCAUCACCCAAUGAUCUUCUUCAAAAGUUCCAAUUCGCCAGCCCACGCAAUCGUCAGAACGCCACGAUACAUAAGCACACACCCUCUACUCGUGUCGUCUUCCCAAAUCUCUAAUAGCAUUCUGCCUGAUCAAUGAUCACCUAACGCCUCAGUUCUCCUCCAGUCCUCCCGGCUCCUCAAUCCCUUCUGGUCUCCCAUACUUCUUGGCUUCUCAUCGGCGUGCACCCCACUUUGGCAGCCUGAUGCCUGCCUGCCACUGCUGCACGCCUGCACGGCCCACCGCUCGGCACACGACUGCCGGUACGCUCUUUUUGUGAACUCUCCUGAUUUAAUUGAUGCCAACUCAAUCUUUUUUAUCAUUUGGCAGCUCUUUUUCACAGUACAUAUUUCGUGUUUGAUAUAAACUUGACCGCCUCUUAUAUGUUGUUCACACUCAGCCACUGGGUGAGGAUGUUUGGGAGCUGGACACCUUUGCACAUGUUCAUGAUCCUCCCCAGGAAGAAGCAGAAAGCUACAUCUAGGCCAUGACAAAAGCAUGUGCAUGAGGAAUGAUGCAACCGCAAGUUGAAACAUAUGCCCUGCUCUUGGCGCAAGCUUGCGAGUGUUAGUGACAUGAUCUGGUACCAAAUAGUGUUCUUUUCCAGCAGAUUAAGAUACUGGUUCAACUUAAUUUUAGCGUGCUUAAAGUUUUACGUUGCAAUCAUAACGUAAUAAGGUUGAUAUAUGCUCUUGUGAUUCCGGAUGCAAGAAAUUAUUGGAACCAAGUUAUGGCAGAUGAAUUAUUAUCGACACCGACUUAACCACUUAUAAAAACAAAUACUUAAGAGUAAAUCAAUGUUUAAUACUAGAAAAAGAAAAAAGACACCCGUAAAAAAGAGAGAGUAAAAGAUAACAUCAUCCUUGCAAGAUCACUAUCCUCUCUCUGGCGGAUACUACGUCUACUUUGAUUAACUUCAAUAUGGAAUGAUACCUGUAUUCCCCUUUCAGGAAAAAAAUAUCUUGUACUUCAAUCAAUUACCUUCAUGUGAAUUUAUAGGUAGAUGCUUGCACUUCUAUGAUGCUUCCUGAUAUAACACAUUUCCAUCCUAAUAGAUCAGCAACUUCUCUAUUAGAUUCAAGAGACAUAGACACAUAAUAAUAAUUAGAAGUUACCACAAGAAAAACAUAUAAACUCAGAAAUGUAUGAGACACAUUCAAGUAAAAAACAUAUGGAACAUAUGUUCUCAGAAAUGGAUAUAGCACACCACAAAUAUCUAUAUAAAUUUUCUAUUUUCAUGUCAAACAUACAAAAUAUUGUACAGACCUAGUUCCUAACAUACAUAGUUAACUUUUGUAGAAAUAUUCUCUUCCGUACCAAACAAAAAAAUGAUCCACACAAAUAAAGCUUAGAUAUUGAAAUAUUAACUAGCAAACGUGACACAAAUUUCUAUCUAAUAAGACCAAAUUAAAGAACACUUUUUUCUAAGCUACAUAUACUUUUUUUUUG
rnacentral:lncRNA from 1 species